UCUACUUCCAGGAGAAGCAGAAAGAUUCAGAAUUAAGCUGCCACCAUGCUCUCCCACAAUCAUAAUUAAUAUAAUCAUUUUUGUCAUAGUGAAGGUUUGAAGGAUCGUCUCACAUAAGUCAGGUAAAUAAAGAAUGGACUUUUCACAUGGAAAGAUGAGCUUCUCUAAAAGAUGGAUCCUGAGCAAAGUAUAUUCCCCGCUGGUACUAGCACCUGAUGCUUUUUGAUACUAAAUGAGAGAAAACCAAGAAAAAAUGUUCAUUGUGCAUUAAGUCAUCUCGUAAGUCUUUCAAGAACACAAUUUGAGAAAUGUUGAUUUCCACAUUGCUAUACCCUCUGGUACACUGAUAUGUAUUAACUGAAGCCGACUGUGAAACAGUCAUUCUAGAGAAAGUGAAGAAACAGACGUUGUCUCUAAAGGUUUGUCCUUACACUGUAGAGAAGCUUUGGAAAUCAAGCUGAUGAUACG